GCCGCGCGGGUCGUCGGAGAGACGACGCCUCCCUGGUACGGAGGAGAGACGGGUGCGACUCCCGUGUGCGGCU
rnacentral:tRNA from 1 species